UUAUUAUUUGCGAUGCAUCUCCUUGAAUGUAUCAUAUAAUACCUCUGAGGAACCCUAAAAAAUUUCAGCCAAAACAAAUUUGCCGAGGCAUAGGAGAAUACAUUGGAGAAAAUGGUGAAAGUGUCCACCUACUUUGCAAUGUCACUUGGAGCCUUCUUAUUCUGGGAAUCCAUGGAUAAGCUUCACGUUUGGAUCGCUCUACAUCAAGACGAAAAGAGAGAGAGACAGGAGAAGGAAGCCGAGAUCAAGAGAGUCCGGGAGGAGCUAUUGAAACAAGCCAAACAUAGGGACUCUCUCCUGUGAUCGCGUUGUGUUUUGAUGCGGGUGGUUUUUUCUCUAAAUUUCUCUCGUUGUUAUUUUUACCUGAAUUGUCUAGUGCCGUAUGGAUAAAAAAGCAUAACAAUCAACUUAUCUGUUUCAAGCUGAUUACCUGCUUUAUGAACCAGCGCAAUUGUAUCUGCCUGCAUCUGUUGGAAUGUUUAGUGAAGUUGGUUUUAAUAAGACUGUUACAUCUUCUAUGAGUUUAUUUGAUGUAAUAGGAGCAGUAAUUGAAAUUAAGAGAAACUGCACGUUUUGCUUGAA